rnacentral:tRNA from 1 species
UGGCGAGUCGUCUAGUGGCAGGACAGCUGACUCUGGAUCAGCCGACGGAGGUUCGAAUCCUCCCUCGCCAACCA